CUCUGGAAAAUACAGAAUACGGGAGACAAGUUUCAUAGCCAGAAAUCUUCUAACUUCAUUCCUGCAAGGCGGUGACUGCUCCAGUGCUCUGACAUCAGCUGCUCAAGUUAGAAGGUGAUAGAUCAGAGAUUCUGGAUGAGAGCAUUCCACUCACUAAUGACAAGGCGUUUAUUAGAACAGUUGCACACCGUGUUUCCUUCCUAGAAGAGAAAGUGCCCGAAGCAAAGAAGAGUCAUGGUGCCUUUUUAAUACCACUUUCCAACUGUUUCGAUAUGCAGUUAUCCCAUCUUUAAAAACGUCUGGGACAUACCUUAACUCUGUAAAGAACAUCAUGAAUAUGCAGUCUGGUUAACAGGCAUGGAAAGGAC
rnacentral:lncRNA from 1 species